rnacentral:rRNA from 1 species
UACAGAGGGUGCAAGCGUUAAUCGGAAUUACUGGGCGUAAAGCGCGCGUAGGUGGUUGGUUAAGUUGGAUGUGAAAGCCCCGGGCUCAACCUGGGAACUGCAUCCAAAACUGGCCGACUAGAGUACAGUAGAGGGUGGUGGAAUUUCCUGUGUAGCGGUGAAAUGCGUAGAUAUAGGAGGGAACACCAGUGGCGAAGGCGACCACCUGGACUGAUACUGACACUGAGGUGCGAAAGCGUGGGGAGCAAACAGG